CAUCCAUCCAGAAAUUGAAAAUUGGAGUCUAGGGUCCAGGAUAGAUUUCUGCUAGAGAUUGAAAUAUGGAACCAUCUAAUUAGUCAAAUUCUACCAACGUUUAGCUGUGUGAAUAAGCAAAUAACUUAAUUUCUCAGCAUCCUGGUGCCCCUAUCUUCCAAGUGGGCGGAGAAUAUAUAACUAUAAGGAUUUUUGUGAGGAUUAUUAAUUUCUGUAGGAAAACUUUGUUGCCCAAUGCAUAUUAACUAGAUAACCAGUGUUCUCAGUAUCUUCAUUGCCUUUACAGUUUGCUGGGUCUGUGUCAGCCUGAUGGGAGUAAAUGAAGUUGUCACAGAGUCUGAUAGGAAGGGCUGCCGCGUGAGGCUCCCUUGAUGACCGCAUUCACUGGCUGUUGAUCACUCUGUACCUCUCUUCUCAUCUCCCUGGACUUUAUUCUUUGUGAUCCAUUCCAUCACUUUUAUAUCUUCAAUCCCUCCACUGAAUGAAGCUGAUUGUGCCGUGAUAAAUCACUUCCUGUAGGGUUGAUGACUGAGCCAAGAGGGAAUGACAAUAAGGCUCGGUGGAUUGCUUCUCUUUUGUGGGAACUCCUAAGAGACUCCUAAUCCCACAGAUGACAACUAUCAGUUUUGGAGAAAAUACAUAAAACAAUUACCUGAAGGCUAUGGAUAAAGACAACGAAAAAAGGGUGAGGAAUUUUGGAAGGGAGUCAAUACUUGAAUGAAGGAAAUGACGUGGUUUGAGUUACCAGUUUUUGCAAGUUUUGGACUAAAGACAAAACAUUGAGGUCCAGUAGAAAACUUGUGGUCUUUCUGGUUUAACAAAUCAGAAGACAACUCAAGGCAUUACUGCUGUAGGAAGAUGACAAGUAACCCUGAAAAUUGAAGAACCAGAGAAGGAGGAGCCCAAGCUCUGUGGAUAAAUUCUAUACAAGUCUCUAAAUCAUGCAUAAGGACCAAAAAAAAAAAAAAUGAACUGAGAUUUGAGAUGCAGUGGGUGAGGCAGACUUUUCAGUUUGAAAAUCAAAUCGAGUUAAUUACCUGUCAAGUCAGAAAUACCAACACUCUACAAAGGAAUAAAAAAGAAACCAGAGUCUCCACAACAUAACACUCAACACUAUCCAGGACACAAUCCAAAAUUACUGUUACACAAAGAA